GGGAAUGUGGCUUAGUGGUAGAGUGAUUGCCUAGUAUGCAGGAAGUCCUUGGUUCAAAUCCUCAGUACCA
rfam:Dipodomys ordii contig_18928, whole genome shotgun sequence.